rnacentral:rRNA from 1 species
AUGUACUUUCCUUCCUCAAGUAGUCCUCCUCCUUGGCGUCCUCCGCGGGCGUCCACGAUGCCGGCCGCCAUAGUCGGGACUACGUCGAGCGCGGCCCCCCAACGGGGACUUCUACACGGGGCAGUGGCGCGGCGGCGUGCCGCACGGCGACGGGAAGUACCUGUGGACGGACUGGUGCAUGUACGAGGGGGAGUGGUGGCACGGCAAGGCCACGGGCCGGGGCAAGUUCUCCUGGCCGUCAGGCGCCACCUACAGGGCGAGUUCAAGGACGGCUUCAUGGACGGCGACGACACCUGCACCAUCGCCGCCGGGGACCCAUACAAUGCCUCCUGGUCCAUGAACCUCCAGGAUGGCGACGACAGGAAGAGCUACACCAACAGCGACCAAUACGACGGCGACUCGUGCUCCGGGCUGCGGAUGGCGCCGGCCGCUACAUCUGGCACAACGGGACCGAGUACAGGGGAAGUGGCGGGCCAGCCUCAUCGACGGCUGCGGCGCGCUCGCCUGGGCCGACGGCAACCGCUAUGA